GGGUUUUGGGAUACUUGGAGUUAAGCAUCCUUGGGUUUGAAUAGUACUAGGCUGGGUGACCUCCCGAGAAAUCCAAACUCAAAGAACU
rnacentral:rRNA from 1 species